AGGAUGAACGCUGGCGGUCUGCUUAACACAUGCAAGUCGAACGGAGUAGCAAUACUUAGUGGCGGACGGGUGAGUAACGCGUGAGAAUCUACCUUCAGGACGGAGACAACAGUUGGAAACGACUGCUAACCCCCGAUGUACCGAAAGGGCAAAUAUUUAUAGCCUGAAGAAGAGCUCGCGUCCGAUUAGCUAGUUGGAGAGGUAAAAGCUCACCAAGGCGACGAUCGGUAGCUGGUCUGAGAGGACGAUCAGCCACACUGGGACUGAGACACGGCCCAGACUCCUACGGGAGGCAGCAGUGGGGAAUUUUCCGCAAUGGGCGAAAGCCUGACGGAGCAAGACCGCGUGGGGGAAGAAGGCUCUUGGGUUGUAAACCCCCUUUUCUCUGGGAAGAACACAAUGACGGUACCAGAGGAAUCAGCAUCGGCUAACUCCGUGCCAGCAGCCGC
rnacentral:rRNA from 1 species